rnacentral:misc_RNA from 1 species
AACGCACCUUGCACUUUAGGAGUCAAUCCUAAAGUAUACCUGUUUGAGUAUCAUAAACAUUUAUCCAAUUUUAUUGGGAAUUGAGGGUUUAGUUGCUCCGGCGAUUAUCUCUUUAAAUGUAUUAGAGGUUCUAGGAUAGCAGUCUUAUAUCUAGAAUGAGGAUAUUACUCUUUGCAGUAACAAUCAUGACGGAGUAAAAGGGUUAUCUUAUCAUGAGCUUCUUUAAACGUCUUCGGACACUAGAACAAAUGUGAUCUCAAAUCAGGCAAGAUUACCCGCCGAACUUAA